rnacentral:rRNA from 1 species
UACGAAGGGGGCUAGCGUUGCUCGGAAUCACUGGGCGUAAAGGGUGCGUAGGCGGGUCUUUAAGUCAGGGGUGAAAUCCUGGAGCUCAACUCCAGAACUGCCUUUGAUACUGAGGAUCUUGAGUUCGGGAGAGGUGAGUGGAACUGCGAGUGUAGAGGUGAAAUUCGUAGAUAUUCGCAAGAACACCAGUGGCGAAGGCGGCUCACUGGCCCGAUACUGACGCCGAGGCACGAAAGCGUGGGGAGCAAACAGG